UUCCCUGUUUGACUACCACAUUUUCUCCUAAUAAGAGAUUUUAGUGGCUAUGUUUAUAGGAUAGAUUAAAAUUGCCAUGAUCUGAAGACAGAGGAUUUAUUUGUAUUCUCCUCCUCUAUAAAAUGGUUGAACCAAAAAAA
ensembl:snoRNA